rnacentral:rRNA from 1 species
AAACCAACCGGGAUUGCCUUAGUAACGGCGAGUGAAGCGGCAAAAGCUCAAAUUUGAAAUCUGGUACCUUCGGUGCCCGAGUUGUAAUUUGGAGAGGGCAACUUUGGGGCCGUUCCUUGUCUAUGUUCCUUGGAACAGGACGUCAUAGAGGGUGAGAAUCCCGUGUGGCGAGGAGUGCGGUUCUUUGUAAAGUGCCUUCGAAGAGUCGAGUUGUUUGGGAAUGCAGCUCUAAGUGGGUGGUAAAUUCCAUCUAAAGCUAAAUAUUGGCGAGAGACCGAUAGCGAACAAGUACAGUGAUGGAAAGAUGAAAAGAACUUUGAAAAGAGAGUGAAAAAGUACGUGAAAUUGUUGAAAGGGAAGGGCAUUUGAUCAGACAUGGUGUUUUGUGCCCUCUGCUCCUUGUGGGUAGGGGAAUCUCGCAUUUCACUGGGCCAGCAUCAGUUUUGGUGGCAGGAUAAAUCCAUAGGAAUGUAGCUUGCCUCGGUAAGUAUUAUAGCCUGUGGGAAUACUGCCAGCUGGGACUGAGGACUGCGACGUAAGUCAAGGAUGCUGGCAUAAUGGUUAUAUGCG